UACGUAGGGUGCAAGCGUUGUCCGGAAUUAUUGGGCGUAAAGAGCUCGUAGGCGGUCUGUCGCGUCGGCUGUGAAAUCCCGGAGCUCAACUCCGGGCCUGCAGUCGAUACGGGCAGACUGGAGUUCGGCAGGGGAGACUGGAAUUCCUGGUGUAGCGGUGAAAUGCGCAGAUAUCGGGAAGAACACCCGUGGCGAAGGCGGCACUCUGGGACGGUACUGACGCUGAGACGCGAAAGCGUGGGGAGCGAACAGG
rnacentral:rRNA from 1 species